rnacentral:tRNA from 1 species
UAGGAUUAUAGUUUAAAAAAAACAUUUAUUUUGCAAAUAAAAAAUAUUCAAAAUUUAAUCU